CAUGCCAAACACAAUAAAUACAACUUGUCUUUGUGGGAAUAUUUGUUUGCUCAACAUGGUAGUGAAAACAAUGGUGACACGGAACAUAAUAUUAACAAGUCAUUUGCUAAAAUGGUUUGGAACGUAUAAGCAUAAUAUGCAUAGCAAUUAGCAGCUAAGGCUUAUGGUAGGUUUUAUUUCUUUUACACAGAGAGAAAUAUAGCAUAAACACACAUCAUAUCAUCCAACAGUCAACGAUCCAACAACCCGCAGCAGCAAAGAGCUCUCAAACUGCACAAACCAAUACACAAUUCGGUCUUAUUUUAGCAAAAAAUGUGAUAUUCAUGUUAGACCUUCAUGUUAUUAGUUUUAAAUAGAAUUUACUAAAUUCCUCAAAUUCAUUUCAAACAGUAAACUAUACACUUGAUUUUAGACAUCUUAGAUAUUAGUGUACAUUUGCUUUUCUUUUUAUUCUAGAGAGUUGAAAUCCAAAUUCAAAUGCAGAAGAAAAUGGAACAUGUGUAAGUCAAGAGUAAAUUGCUCAACAUAUUAUGUGAAUGUCAUGGGUAGAAUAUUGGGAAUUUUUCUACUAUUGUAGCCAUGUAUAUAAUUAGAUUAUUAUGUCUAUUUAUUCGCAUUUAAUUAUCUUACCUAGAAUAGGCCAGUUAAAAUAGCUCAUCAACCAGAGUAAAUUAAUAAUUUGAUCCACCGUUAAAUAGGCUGGCUUUGAGUGAAUUAAUAAUCGAGUAAAUUACUGCAAUCGUCCCUAUGGUUUGGUUAAAAUUACAUGUUUGGUCUCUAACUUUUUUUUUUUGCACUCGAAUCGUUUUUGUGGUUUGAUUUUAUUGCGCUUUUCGUCCCUUACAUACAUAAAGUUAGAGACCAAACGUGCAAUUUUGACCAAACCAUAGGGAUGAAAAACGCAACAAAAUCAAAUCAUAGGGGCGAUCCGAAUGCAAAAAAGAAGUUAGAGACCAAACGUGUAAUUUUGACCAAACCAUAAAGACGAUUUCAGUAACUUACUCUUAAUAAUUUGAUCCUCCAACCCGUUUAAAUAAAUACUUCUAUUUUAUUUAUAUUUUAUACAAUAUUAAAUUUUAGUUUCUUAUAAUAUAACCAAAAUUCCUAAACCCUCAGCUUUCCCGGAGUCUCCAUUGGUUAAAAAACCUUCUACCUCCAUCUAUACAAUACUUCAGCUUCAAUUAAUAAGUUACUUCUAUUUUGAAACUAGUUUAAUUCUGAUUUCUAGUUUCGGCUUUUAGUUUUGACUUCCAAUUCAAGACUUAUUCACAACUUUGUAAUUUUGUAAUUUGCAUGUUAUUUAGAAUGUUGUUUGAACAAAUGAUUUGUGAUUGUAGUUGUGUAUCUUUAACCUUGAAGUCAUGAACAACUAUUUGGGUAACCUAUUAUAUAUUAUAGUCUAAUCAAUUUUUGUAUAAUAUGUAAACUUUGAAAAUAAAUUGGGUCAAACCAGGUCUAACGUGUUUAUCUAACAAGUUGGAAUGGAAAAUAAAAAUAAAUGAGUCAAGAGUCGACCCAUUAUCUAACUGUUGGGUUAGUUUGGGAAGUUUUCAACCUGUUUAUCUAAACCCAAUUGCUAACUGGAAUCCUAGUUGUGUACAUAUAUUAGAAGAAAAUGUAGAGAAGGUAUGUCUUGUAAAUUACAAAAUCUUGUGUAUUUUCUCUAAUUGCAAUGGGAAAUAAUCAUAUUCAAGAACAAGAUCAAGUUCAAUUCAAUUUUAUAUGUCCAGUUGAGAUCAACGACCAAUUUACCUGUGAAAAUACAAAAAUUGGCACCUCAAAGGUGUUUUUUUGUUUCCCUAUUAUUUUGUUAGAUCUGGUGUGCCUUUUCAAUCAGAUUACCUUUUCCAAGUCAGCAACCAAUAGUCGAAAAUGCUGUUUUUGGAUAUUUGGGAAAAGUGAAAAGUACAUAUUCAUAAAGAACAAACGACUUUGAAUGAAAAUGUAAUAUGGAAGGCGGGCUAAAAAAUAAAGAAUAAGAAAAAUCAAAAGGCACAUACCAGCCCCUUAGCACAGAAGAGCAACCAGGUCCAGAAUCAUAAUAAUAUUCAUGGCGGUGGGGGUAUGUAGGUGGAGGGAUGAAGUAACCUUGAUAACCGUGAGGAGGUGGAGGAUGCUGAUGGCGAUGUGCUGGUGGUGGCGGUGGGAGACCAAUAGGCGGAUGCCCCGGGCCCGGUGGAUGUGGUGAUCGAUGCCCUAGAAAGUAUAAACAUAUAGUCUGCAACUUAUUAACCAUAAAAAUCCCAAUUAAGAUAACUUAGUAAUACAUGUUAUUACUUGCCUGGAGGUGGAGGUGGAUGAUGAUGAUGAGGUGGAGGUGGAUGAUGAUGGUGGUGAUGAUGCCCACUCAUGGAUUUUCAGAUUCCAGUCAGUUGAAUUGAACUGAAUCCUAGCAAUAGAAAACAAAGGUGUGAAGACGAUGAGGAAGUGGCGGUCAGCGGUCUUCUCCUCCGAGUCCUAAAUCCUGAUAUUCUUUCGCAGACCUUGCAUUCGGUGGAAAGGAACGGAUUUGGAUACUCAUACUAGCUAUUACUUCAUUCGGUGGGCUGGGCUGUGCUGUGCCUCAAGUCCAAUUACUAUUAACUAGG
rnacentral:lncRNA from 1 species